AACGCGAAGAACCUUACCUACCCUUGACAUCCUGCGAAUUUAGAAGAGAUUCUGAAGUGCCGAAAGGAACGCAGAGACAGGUGCUGCAUGGCUGUCGUCAGCUCGUGUUGUGAGAUGUUGGGUUAAGUCCCGUAACGAGCGCAACCCUUGUCCUUAGUUGCCAUCAUUAAGUUGGGGACUCUAAGGAGACUGCCGGUGAGGAACCGGAGGAAGGCGGGGACGACGUCAAGUCAUCAUGGCCUUUAUGGGUAGGGCUACACACGUGCUACAAUGGGGCGUACAGAGGGUAGCCAACUCGCAAGAGGGAGCCAAUCUCAAAAAAGCGUCUCGUAGUCCGGAUUGGAGUCUGCAACUCGACUCCAUGAAGUUGGAAUCGCUAGUAAUCGCGAAUCAGCAUUGUCGCGGUGAAUACGUUCCCGGGCCUUGUACACACCGGAGUGC
rnacentral:rRNA from 1 species